GAAAGAGAGAUGCAAAAUAAGUUAGGAUUUCUAUAAAAACGGGGUUUAAAUGAAAACUGACCCCGGCAAUGCACUUUUGCAAAAUAAGAGUCCUAAUGCGAAAUUGACCGCGUGUAAACCAAAUUGAGGGUAAAAGAAACGCGUUGGCGAAGUCGGUUCGGCAAUCCGACGAACCUACGCAAAGAUAUCGCCAAAAGAAGGUUUUCGGCUAUAGUUGCCGCUUUAUAUAGCAUUGAAAUGCUAACUUGUCAAUUAUGAGUCGACGACACGCUAAUUACGGUAGAGACCGCUCUAGUCCUAUUUGCACGGAGUCGCGAGAGAUAGUCGUCGACGCUUUCCGAGACGUGGAUUCUAGUUGAUUGACACCACUACAGGUUCCAGUGCGAGUUUCGAGGCCGAGGAUCGUGGCAAGGGCCCUGCAGCUUAGCUAGCUGACACCAGAGUUUAGCAAUUACCAUUUUGAGUUCAUGUAUCAUCCAUUUUGAUGUACAGAGACAUGUAAAUGAAUGUAUAAAAAGCAUGUAUAUAACUAAAUAUUUCAGUUACAAGUUCAGUUGUGUAAAAUUUUAA